CCUACGGGAGGCAGCAGUGAGGAAUAUUGGUCAAUGGGCGUAAGCCUGAACCAGCCAAGUCGCGUGAGGGAUGAAGGUUCUAUGGAUCGUAAACCUCUUUUAUAAGGGAAUAAAGUGCGGGACGUGUCCCGUGCUGCAUGUACCUCAUGAAGAAGGAGCGGCUACCUCCGUGCCAGCAGCCGCGGGAAUACGGAGGAUCCGAGCGGUAUCCGGAUUUAUUGGGGUGCAAGGGUGCGUAGGCGGCCUUUUAAGUCAGCGGUGCCAGUCUGUGGCUCACCCAUAGAAUUGCCGUUGAAACUGGGAGGCUUGAGUAUGUUUGAGGCAGGCGGCCUGCGUGGUGUAGCGGUGAAAUGCUUAGAUAUCACGCAGAACCCCGAUUGCGCAGGCAGCCUGCCAAGCCAUGACUGACGCUGAUGCACGAACGCGUGGGGAUCAAACAGGAUUAGAUACCCUAGUAGUC
rnacentral:rRNA from 1 species